rnacentral:misc_RNA from 1 species
UAUUAGCCCUGAUAGGAGCGGUUACCCCACAGCAUGUGGCUGGAAAAGAGAGGAGCGAGGAGUAUGAGCGGAUAGCAGGAAACAGC